UUAAAAACAUUGGGAGUUGAUUGUGAUCACUAUGGUAAUAGUAUAGAUUGUUUUUAUAAUUUUGGGUACUUGGAGCAGCUUGAGAAACUAAGCAUCAGAAGGUGGAUGAAAUUCGACCUUGAUAUGUGUAGCAUUCCAUGGGCAACUAGUUUACCAAAUCUUAAGAAGCUCAGCUUCUUGGAGUCCAAUCUACAGGGGCGUGAGCUGAGCGCUAUUAGUAUGCUGCCUAAUCUGGAGGUUCUAAAAUUGAUAGAUGCUUGUAGAGGCUCAAAGUGGGAGACAUCUGAUGGAGGGUUCCAUCAAUUGAAGAGGUUGGUAAUUAAGAAAGCAGGUCUCAAAUAUUGGAAUGCUGUGGUGACCAUUUCCUUAUGCUCGAAUGUUUAGAAAUAAGUGAGUGCUAUCGGUUGAAAAAAAUUCCAAGUGAUUUUGCCGAUAUCACCACACUAGCAUUGAUUCAGUUAAGCAGAUGUAGGGAUUCCCUCCUGGCUUCUGCAAAGCGGAUUCAAAGAGAGCAAAACAAAUAUGGAAAUGAUGCCCUCCUAGUUCGUUCCGAUCGAAAAUAUUGAGACUUUUGAGGAGGAAGAGAGUGAUGAAUGAAUGUAGGAAGGCCUGGAGAAAUUGUUGGAAGAAAUGACAAAUUUAGAAUGUGCAUAGCGGUGAGCUGAAAUGGUCUGUGCGGGCAAUUCGUUCUCAGAAAUCUUAUGGAUAGU